GUCCUUCGUCCAUUUAUGACGUUUAACAUGCAACGGGACGUGCACGAUUUAAGGCGGGGAGGAUGUAACCCAGGUGUAAAAUCCACUUACCUAUAGUAACUGCAAAUUCCCAUUUCCUGUAUAUCAGUAAACGCCCCGUAUAAUCUCAGCCCCCUCACGUGACCACCUCAGCCAAUCACACGCUAAUGGCGCUUAUAUAAUGCAGCUGCGCUUCUCUCCAGUCAGAGCUGGGAGGAAGCGCAACAGGGCAGCUGCACAGGAGCCACUACCAUUAUCACGGACGCUGAGUAAAGACCGCGGGUUCUGACGCGAACAAGGGGAUUUGGCCAGGUGUGCUCGGGUUGGGCACAAUAUUUGAUGGCGAGCUAGGAGCCCUACCAAGAACUGGAACAUCACAUUCAACUCUACAGCCUUUGCGGUCUGGUAGGAGGCUGUUGCAGCCUGUCCCUCCCAUAGACUCAAACAUUCGCAUUCACAACCUUAACAUAUGGACAAAAGGGGAAAUUUUAUGGACAAUUAAGCCCAUAUCAGUGGCAACCUCAUUUUUUGUUCUAUUGU